AGUGAACGCUGGCGGUAGGCCUAACACAUGCAAGUCGAACGGCAGCACAGUAAGAGCUUGCUCUUACGGGUGGCGAGUGGCGGACGAGUGAGGAAUACAUCGGAAUCUACUUUUUCGUGGGGGAUAACGUAGGGAAACUUACGCUAAUACCGCAUACGACCUACGGGUGAAAGCAGGGGAUCUUCGGACCUUGCGCGAUUGAAUGAGCCGAUGUCGGAUUAGCUAGUUGGCGGGGUAAAGGCCCACCAAGGCGACGAUCCGUAGCUGGUCUGAGAGGAUGAUCAGCCACACUGGAACUGAGACACGGUCCAGACUCCUACGGGAGGCAGCAGUGGGGAAUAUUGGACAAUGGGCGCAAGCCUGAUCCAGCAACACCGCGUGAGUGAAGAAGGCCUUCGGGUUGUAAAGCUCUUUUGUUAGGAAAGAAAAGCAGCAGGUUAAUACCCCGCUGUUCUGACGGUACCCAAAGAAUAAGCACCGGCUAACUUCGUG
rnacentral:rRNA from 1 species